rnacentral:rRNA from 1 species
GACGAACGCUGGCGGCGUGCUUAACACAUGCAAGUCGAACGGAAAGGCCCUGCUUUUGUGGGCUGCUCGAGUGGCGAACGGGUGAGUAACACGUGAGUAACCUGCCCUUGACUUUGGGAUAACUUAAGGAAACUGGGGCUAAUACCGGAUAGGAGCUCCUGCUGCAUGGUGGGGGUUGGAAAGUUUCGGCGGUUGGGGAUGGACUGGCGGCGUAUCAGCUUGUUGGUGGGGUAGUGGCUUACCAAGGCUUUGACGGGUAGCAGGGCUGAGAGGGUGACCGGACACACUGGGACUGGGAUGAGGCCCAGACUACAAUGGGAGGCAGAGGUGGAGAAUGUAAUACUAUGGGCGGGAGGCUGAUGUAGCAACGCAGCGUGGGGGAUGAGAUCAAGCGGGUUGGGAUCUGAUGCUGUUUUAGACGAGGUGUGAGUGACGGUAACGGGUAAAGAAGCUCCGGCUAACUACGUG